rnacentral:rRNA from 1 species
UACGAAGGGGGAGCUAGCGUUGCUUCGGAAUCGACUAGGGCGUAAAGGGCGCGUGAGGCGGCGUUUUAAGUCGGGGGUGAAAGCCUGUGGCUCAACCACAGAAUGGCCUCGAAUACUGGGACGCUUGAGUAUGGUAGAGGUUGGUGGAACUGCGAGUGUAGAGGUGAAAUUCGUAGAUAUUCGCAAGAACACCGGUGGCGAAGGCGGCCAACUGGGACCAUUACUGACGCUGAGGCGCGAAAGCGUGGGGAGCAAACAGGA